GUGAGCCAGUGUUGCAGGUUGACGUCCAGGGACACUGCAAAUCAUGGUCAUGGAACUGUGCAAUAGUAUUUCUCCAGUCUGUGUUUGUACCAUUUUGCCGCAGCAGCAGAGAUGGAGUACGAGCUCAUGACAGAGAGAUCUGGGAGGCCAGGUUAAAAGAGCAGUGGGAGAUGAGCACCCAGCACAAAGAUGAAACUGGCAUUAUGAAGAAAAAGGCCCAGGAUAAGAAGCACCUCAAUGUGAUUAGCAAUCUGGAAAAUGACAUCUUGGGCCUGGAAAAGGAGAUAAUGUGGAGGAAUGAAAACAUUGAGGAAAAAGAAAUUCACAUUUCUGAAAUGAGGAAGAGGAACACAAAUACAUUCUAGACAACAACGCAGAUCGAGCCCAAAGAGAAAAUAAUCAAAGAUAUGAAGGAACAGAUCCAAAAGAUGGAGGGGGAAUUCAGCAAGCAGAAUUCCCAGUUGGAGAUAAACACCACAGAGCUCAAACUGAAGCUCAGUGCCAAAGACAAGGAUAUGCGGCAGGAAAUGGAGAGGCACCAGAGUCUAAUUCAUCCACGUGUGGGCCACGCAUUCCGGCGACUACUCUCACCCCUGAGGAGGAAGCACAGAGGAUCAUUCACCUGCAGCGCGCUCAGAUCGAGUGCCUCCACCAACAUAUCCUUCACCAAACAGGGAAGAGUCCAAGAAGACCUACCCACAGCACUGACCAGCACCCUCUCACCUACUGAAAUAAACCUUGAUUCAUAAA